CUUGGAAGCAGCCAUUCAUUUAAAGAGUGCGUAACAGCUCACUAGUCGAGGAGUCCGGCGUGGAUAAUACUCGGGCAUAAACUGUUUACCGAAGCUAUGGAUGUGUAAACACAUGGUAGGGGAGCAUUCCAACGGCGUCGAAGGUGAAGGAUGACCUUUGCUGGAGCUUUUGGAAACGCAAAUGUAGGUAUAAGUAACGAUAAAGGAGGUGAGAAACCUCCUCGCCGAAAGACUAAGGUUUCCUGAUCAACGUUAAUCGGAUCAGGGUAAGUCGGGACCUAAGGUUAAGCCGAACGGCGAUACCGAUGGAAGAAUGGUUUAAUAUUCCCAUACUACUUUAUGGAGCGAUGUGGAGACGGAGAAGUGACAGUCCUGCCAUCUGACGGAAUAGGUGGUUGAAGAGUGUAGAUGUAGAUUCCUGUAGGCAAAUCCGCAGGGAGAGUCGACCUUGACAGUAUGCCGCGUGCUUGCACAAGGCAAAAUGGACGUAAUCAGGCUCCCAAGAAAAUCCGCUAAGCAUAUUCAUAAAGUACCCGUACCGUAAACGGACACACGUAGUUGGGUUGAAAAUACUGAGGCGCUCGAGUGAUUCACGGUUAAGGAACUAGGCAAAUUGACCCUGUAACUUCGGGAUAAAGGGUCCCUACUGAGAGGUAGGGCGCAGAGAAUAGGUCCAGGCAACUGUUUAACAAAAACACAUGGCUGUGCGAAAUAGAAAUAUGAAGUAUACAGCCUGACACCUGCCCGGUGCUGGAAGGUUAAGAGGAGAGCUCAGCGCAAGCGAAGGCUUGAAUUGAAGCCCCAGUAAACGGCGGCCGUAACUAUAACGGUCCUAAGGUAGCGAAAUUCCUUGUCGGGUAAGUUCCGACCUGCACGAAUGGUGUAAUGAUCCGGACGCUGUCUCAACCAUGAGCUCAGUGAAAUUGUAGUAUCGGUGAAGAUGCCGAUUACCCGCGAUGGGACGAAAAGACCCCGUGAACCUUUACUAUAGCUUUACAUUGAAUUUGGGCAAUCGAUGUGUAGGAUAGGCCGGAGACAUUGAAUCAGGUACGCCAGUAUUUGUGGAGUCGCCGUUGAAAUACGGCCCUUUGGUUGUUUGAGUUCUAACCCGCAGAAGCGGGGACACUGUAUGGUGGGUAGUUUGACUGGGGUGGUCGCCUCCAAAAGAGUAACGGAGGCUUCUAAAGGUACCCUCAGACCGAUUGGUAACCGGUCGCAGAGUGUAAUGGCAUAAGGGUGCUUGACUGGGAGACAGACAAGUCGAUCAGGUAGGAAACUAGAGCAUAGUGAUCCGGUGGUUCCGCAUGGAAGGGCCAUCGCUCAAAGGAUAAAAGGUACUCCGGGGAUAACAGGCUGAUC
rnacentral:rRNA from 1 species